UCAAACCCCCUUAAUUCACCAAGAACACAACACAAAGUCUCUCGCCCUACAACAAAAAUACUCCGGCCAGAUCAUGUUGAUUGAAUAUAGAAUGUCCAAGAAACCAUCUAAAUUUGCGUUGACGAUGGCCACUGCUAGGGUUCUACCUCUUCGUUGUUCGGCGUCAGAGCAGAUUUUUUUAUCUGCAAAAUCCAAAAUUAUUAAGGAAGAAAGUGAUUUUCAAUGUUUAGCCGCACUUUUAUGGUUUUCAUUUGGUACAAUAUCCGUACUUUUGCAGGAAGUGCUUUCAGUGUAUCCUUUGUUGUCUCCACUUCCUAACUCCAGAACAAUCUAAUAGAGUCGGCAAUGUUCCAGGUUUUCUUGAGGUUCGACACAUUUUCUUUUUAAAAAAUCAUCCCGAUGACAUGUUUGAAUAUUGUCUUGUUUGGUGUGUAAAUGUUCUCUUAAUUUUAUCAUUUUUAGGAUGAUCAAACAAUAUUAAUGUUGCACUGUUUGUUGGAACGCAUCAAGUAUUGUAAGUAACACAAAAAGGCGGGGGUCGGAUUGAGAGAGUAGGUACAAUUCAAUGAACUCUAAGCGUCACGGAAUUUGGACGAAAAUACUUAAGCAUGAUUUGUUGAACUUUUACCGACGGGAUAGUCUCAUCUUUGGAUGCAGCAGACCGUGGCAACCUUAGAUCAUUUUAUGGGUAUUUUUAUUUAUGAUUUUUUUUCUUACAAAAGAAAUGUCUUUUCAUACAUCAAAAUUGUAAAAAUGUAUCAUCUGAGGUAGCCUAGGCUAUUGCCGUUGCAUCCAAAGCGGUCACUUGCCCGUUUAGUGGCAGUCUCCCGGGUGAUGCUUUGUUGUUUUCGUCCAAACUUUGUGCCACAACGACUCAUUAAAUUGCUCCUACUCUUUUUCUUCCAUAUGGUCAGUAUUAUUUAUGGAGGUCGGUUGCACAUCUUGUCCUACCGUUUCAUGCUUUGCUUGCAACCGAGAAAAAAAAGAAUGACAAUAUGCUACAAUGUGAAAAUUAUGUUAGUUCUAAAGUUCCGCAAGGGAUGACUUUGUUAGCGGCUGCGAGUUCUUACGUUAUAAAAAAAAUAUUUUAAUUCUAUAAAAAAAAAUCACAAUUUUUUGUAACAUUGUAUCAUUAAUGUCAAUGUGACACCCCGGCCUGCAAGUCACGCAAAGUCGAGCGUGUGGGAGACUUCUUAGGAGGCCACUCAUCCUCAAAUUACUAUAGGCUAAGCACGCUACUCUAGGCCAAGCACGCUCAACUCUAGAGUUCUUUCAGUAGGGCUCCCGAAAAGGAAUGUGCGCAUUGUUGACAUAAAUAGUUUAUUCAAUCUAUUUAACCUAUAUUCAACCUUAGAUGGCCUAGCACCGGCUCAUCCACGGGAGUUGGCCUAGCACCAGUUCAACUCCAGGGGUAUUACAGUCAAUUUAUGGAUUUAUUUAUUUAUUAUUUUAUUGAUAUUUAAGCACCAUUUAUUGUAUAUUUGAAAUACAUUGUG